UAAUUUGUUUAUUGGAACAUACAAAAAAAUAAUGAUAUUCGUCACCAAUGGUAUUUGAAUCGCAGUGACAGCAUAUACGAUUUUCUCUUGGUGUAUUUUUCCACCGACCAACUUCUAUAGGGAUUUUGAUGUUUGAACAUCUAAAUUUACUGUAGAUGUAUCGAUCUGCCACUUUAAGAUUGAGUAAAUAUGGCUCUAAACAAAACAUUGUUUUGUAUGAAGCAUAAAACACA
rnacentral:lncRNA from 1 species